rnacentral:lncRNA from 1 species
CUACAAUAGUCAUGGUCCCAAAAUUCCCACUAUCUCUCCUGAAACUUAUUUCAAUUGUGUUAUACACAUCAAACAAUUUGGAGAGCGUGUGGUUAUUGUUCACUAUAUAGUUUACAAUAAACUUAGUGAACCAUUUGGAUAGGGAGACAAAAGUGAAGUCCUUGCCUAGUUUCUGUCUCAUGAAGUGGUUUAACACUUCAACACUCAAUGAUUCAAAAUCAUCAUAAGUCCAUGUUGAUGGACUAUUUUUGUCAACCAACCAUUAUGUUCUAAACAUAAUUCCAAACAUUCAAGAGUUGUUCUGAAGGAAAAUUUUUGUCCUAGCUAAGAACAAGUAUGAACAUUUGAAUACAUAUGCAAGCUAUUAACACUUUAAAGUAGACAUGCAUUAAAAAACAAUUCAUAAAACCCAUGACUUUCAAAGCCUAGUAUAUGGUGAACCAAUAAACUCUUUAACAACAUUAAAGAGAAGUGAAGAUUUAGAGUUUCUUUACCCUUGAAGCUCAUCCUUGUUUACACAAGGGAU